rnacentral:rRNA from 1 species
GGGCGUCUCUAUCUCAUUGCGAGAGGAGGCGCACCUAGAGCGUACACGCUGAUACCCGAAAGAUGGUGAACUAUGCCUGGCCAGGACGAAGCCAGGGGAAACCCUGGUGGAGGUCCGCAGCGAUUCUGACGUGCAAAUCGAUCGUCGGAGCUGGGUUUAGGGGCGAAAGACCAAUCGAACCAUCUAGUAGCUGGUUCCCUCCGAAGUUUCCCUCAGGAUAGCUUGCGCUCGAGUGGAACGAGUCUCAUCCGGUAGAGCGAAUGAUUAGAGGCCUUGGGGUCGAAACGACCUCAACCUAUUCUCAAACUCCAAAUAGAUGAGAACCCCGGCUUUCUUGAACUUUGUUUUUGAAGCCGUGGGAUUCGGAUCAGAGUGCAAAGUGGGCCAAUUUU